GGAAAUGUGCCCGAGAUUCAAGGACUACUUUGAUAGAGUACACUACAGGGACCACCGCCUCCCUCAUUUCCC
rnacentral:tRNA from 1 species